rnacentral:lncRNA from 1 species
GGUGACGGUGGGUGUCAAAAUGGCCAAAAAGGGCAACAAGAAGCCUGCCAAGGUUGGUGCGAAGAAAAAGGCCAUCGAGACCAUAUGCCAGGCCACCACCUACAAAGAAACCUGCCAAAGCAGCCUCGAAAAGGAGACGGGUGACACCACCGACCCGAAGGACCUGAUCAAGGCCGAGUUCCAGGUGGCGGCGGACAAAGUUAAUGAGGUGAUCAAGAACUCGAACACCUUGAAAGAGUAUGCCAAGGAU